GGGUUGUGAGGUUAAGCGACUAAGCGUACACGGUGGAUGCCCUGGCAGUCAGAGGCGAUGAAGGACGUGCUAAUCUGCGAUAAGCGUCGGUAAGGUGAUAUGAACCGUUAUAACCGGCGAUUUCCGAAUGGGGAAACCCAGUGUGAUUCGUCACACUAUCAUUAACUGAAUCCAUAGGUUAAUGAGGCGAACCGGGGGAACUGAAACAUCUAAGUACCCCGAGGAAAAGAAAUCAACCGAGAUUCCCCCAGUAGCGGCGAGCGAACGGGGAGCAGCCCAGAGCCUGAAUCAGUGUGUGUGUUAGUGGAAGCGUCUGGAAAGGCGCGCGAUACAGGGUGACAGCCCCGUACACAAAAAUGCACAUACUGUGAGCUCGAUGAGUAGGGCGGGACACGUGGUAUCCUGUCUGAAUAUGGGGGGACCAUCCUCCAAGGCUAAAUACUCCUGACUGACCGAUAGUGAACCAGUACCGUGAGGGAAAGGCGAAAAGAACCCCGGCGAGGGGAGUGAAAAAGAACCUGAAACCGUGUACGUACAAGCAGUGGGAGCCUCUUUUAUGGGGUGACUGCGUACCUUUUGUAUAAUGGGUCAGCGACUUAUAUUCUGUAGCAAGGUUAACCGAAUAGGGGAGCCGAAGGGAAACCGAGUCUUAACCGGGCGUUAAGUUGCAGGGUAUAGACCCGAAACCCGGUGAUCUAGCCAUGGGCAGGUUGAAGGUUGGGUAACACUAACUGGAGGACCGAACCGACUAAUGUUGAAAAAUUAGCGGAUGACUUGUGGCUGGGGGUGAAAGGCCAAUCAAACCGGGAGAUAGCUGGUUCUCCCCGAAAGCUAUUUAGGUAGCGCCUCGUGAAUUCAUCUCCGGGGGUAGAGCACUGUUUCGGCAAGGGGGUCAUCCCGACUUACCAACCCGAUGCAAACUGCGAAUACCGGAGAAUGUUAUCACGGGAGACACACGGCGGGUGCUAACGUCCGUCGUGAAGAGGGAAACAACCCAGACCGCCAGCUAAGGUCCCAAAGUCAUGGUUAAGUGGGAAACGAUGUGGGAAGGCCCAGACAGCCAGGAUGUUGGCUUAGAAGCAGCCAUCAUUUAAAGAAAGCGUAAUAGCUCACUGGUCGAGUCGGCCUGCGCGGAAGAUGUAACGGGGCUAAACCAUGCACCGAAGCUGCGGCAGCGACACUGUGUGUUGUUGGGUAGGGGAGCGUUCUGUAAGCCUGUGAAGGUGUACUGUGAGGUAUGCUGGAGGUAUCAGAAGUGCGAAUGCUGACAUAAGUAACGAUAAAGCGGGUGAAAAGCCCGCUCGCCGGAAGACCAAGGGUUCCUGUCCAACGUUAAUCGGGGCAGGGUGAGUCGACCCCUAAGGCGAGGCCGAAAGGCGUAGUCGAUGGGAAACAGGUUAAUAUUCCUGUACUUGGUGUUACUGCGAAGGGGGGACGGAGAAGGCUAUGUUGGCCGGGCGACGGUUGUCCCGGUUUAAGCGUGUAGGCUGGUUUUCCAGGCAAAUCCGGAAAAUCAAGGCUGAGGCGUGAUGACGAGGCACUACGGUGCUGAAGCAACAAAUGCCCUGCUUCCAGGAAAAGCCUCUAAGCAUCAGGUAACAUCAAAUCGUACCCCAAACCGACACAGGUGGUCAGGUAGAGAAUACCAAGGCGCUUGAGAGAACUCGGGUGAAGGAACUAGGCAAAAUGGUGCCGUAACUUCGGGAGAAGGCACGCUGAUAUGUAGGUGAAGUCCCUCGCGGAUGGAGCUGAAAUCAGUCGAAGAUACCAGCUGGCUGCAACUGUUUAUUAAAAACACAGCACUGUGCAAACACGAAAGUGGACGUAUACGGUGUGACGCCUGCCCGGUGCCGGAAGGUUAAUUGAUGGGGUCAGCGCAAGCGAAGCUCUUGAUCGAAGCCCCGGUAAACGGCGGCCGUAACUAUAACGGUCCUAAGGUAGCGAAAUUCCUUGUCGGGUAAGUUCCGACCUGCACGAAUGGCGUAAUGAUGGCCAGGCUGUCUCCACCCGAGACUCAGUGAAAUUGAACUCGCUGUGAAGAUGCAGUGUACCCGCGGCAAGACGGAAAGACCCCGUGAACCUUUACUAUAGCUUGACACUGAACAUUGAGCCUUGAUGUGUAGGAUAGGUGGGAGGCUUUGAAGUGUGGACGCCAGUCUGCAUGGAGCCGACCUUGAAAUACCACCCUUUAAUGUUUGAUGUUCUAACGUGGACCCGUGAUCCGGGUUGCGGACAGUGUCUGGUGGGUAGUUUGACUGGGGCGGUCUCCUCCUAAAGAGUAACGGAGGAGCACGAAGGUUGGCUAAUCCUGGUCGGACAUCAGGAGGUUAGUGCAAUGGCAUAAGCCAGCUUGACUGCGAGCGUGACGGCGCGAGCAGGUGCGAAAGCAGGUCAUAGUGAUCCGGUGGUUCUGAAUGGAAGGGCCAUCGCUCAACGGAUAAAAGGUACUCCGGGGAUAACAGGCUGAUACCGCCCAAGAGUUCAUAUCGACGGCGGUGUUUGGCACCUCGAUGUCGGCUCAUCACAUCCUGGGGCUGAAGUAGGUCCCAAGGGUAUGGCUGUUCGCCAUUUAAAGUGGUACGCGAGCUGGGUUUAGAACGUCGUGAGACAGUUCGGUCCCUAUCUGCCGUGGGCGCUGGAGAACUGAGGGGGGCUGCUCCUAGUACGAGAGGACCGGAGUGGACGCAUCACUGGUGUUCGGGUUGUCAUGCCAAUGGCACUGCCCGGUAGCUAAAUGCGGAAGAGAUAAGUGCUGAAAGCAUCUAAGCACGAAACUUGCCCCGAGAUGAGUUCUCCCUGACCCUUUAAGGGUCCUGAAGGAACGUUGAAGACGACGACGUUGAUAGGCCGGGUGUGUAAGCGCAGCGAUGCGUUGAGCUAACCGGUACUAAUGAACCGUGAGGCUUAACCUUACAACGCCGAAGGUGUUU
rnacentral:rRNA from 4 species